CGAAGGGGGCUAGCGUUGUUCGGAAUUACUGGGCGUAAAGCGCGCGCAGGCGGUUUUUCAAGUCAGUGGUGAAAGCCCGGAGCUCAACUCCGGAACUGCCAUUGAAACUGUAAAACUUGAGGAUGAGAGAGGUGAGUGGAAUUCCCAGUGUAGAGGUGAAAUUCGUAGAUAUUGGGAAGAACACCGGUGGCGAAGGCGGCUCACUGGCUCAUAUCUGACGCUCAGGCGCGACAGCGUGGGGAUCAAACAGGAUUAGAUACCCUGGUAGUCCACGCCGUAAACGAUGAAUGCUAGCCGUUGGGCAGCUUGCUGUUCAGUGGCGCAGCUAACGCAUUAAGCAUUCCGCCUGGGGAUACGGCCGCAAGGUUGA
rnacentral:rRNA from 1 species